rnacentral:rRNA from 1 species
UACGUAGGCAGCAAGCGUUGUUCGGAGUUACUGGGCGUAAAGGGUGUGUAGGCGGUUCUUUAAGUUUGGUGUGAAAUCUCCCGGCUCAAUUGGGAGGGUGCGCCGAAUACUGAGGGACUAGAGUACGGGAGAGGAAAGUGGAAUUCCUGGUGUAGCGGUGAAAUGCGCAGAUAUCAGGAAGAACACCCGUGGCUAAGGCGGCUCUCUAGUACGGUACUGACGCUGAGACGCGAAAGCGUGGGGAGCGAACAGG